CCUACGGGUGGCAGCAGUGAGGAAUAUUGGUCAAUGGGCUUACGCCUGAACCAGCAAAGUCGCGUGAGGGAAGACUGCCCUAUGGGUUGUAGACCUCUUUUGUCAGGGGGCAACGCAGGCUACGUGUAGCCGGACUGCGAGUAACUGAAGAAAAAGCAUCGGCUAAAUCCGGGCCAGCAGCCGCGGUAAUACGGAGGAUGCGCGCGUGAUCCGGAUUUAUUGGGUUUAAAGGGUGCGUAGGCGGAAGGUUAAGUCAGCGGUCAAAUGUCGGUGCGCAACACCGGCCUGCCGUUGAAACUGGUCUUCUUGAGUGAGCUAGAAGUAUGCGGAAUGCGUGGUGUAGCGGUGAAAUGCAUAGAUAUCACGAAGAACUCCGAUUGCGAAGGCAGCAUACCGGCGCUCAACUGACGCUGAGGCACGAAAGCGUGGGGAGCGAACAGGAUUAGAUACCCUUGUAGUC
rnacentral:rRNA from 1 species